CUCCUCUUGAAAUAUAAGAGGUACCGUCUGCUCAAUGCGAUUGUAAAUAGCCGCAGUAUUCUGACUGUGCUAAGGUAGCAUAAUCAUUAGUCUUUUAAUUGGAGGCUGGUAUGAAUGACGAGACGAGAAAAUAGCUGUCUCUAAAAUAAGUUUUGAAUUUUAUUUCUAAGUGAAAAAGCUUAGAUAAUUUUGAAGGACGAUCAGACCCUUUGGAGCUUUAUUUAUUUUAAGUCUAAAUUUAUUUAAGAUGAUUGGAGGAAAAAUAAAUUUUGUUGGGGCGACAGGGAGUAAAAAAUAUCACUCUUUUUUAAAAACAACUAUAGUUGGAAAAUUGAUCCUUACCGUGAGAUUAAAAGACUAAGUUACCCUAGGGAUAACAGCGUAAUCUUUUUGGAGAGUUCUAAUCGAUAAAAAGGUUUGCGACCUCGAUGUUGGAUUAAGAGAUUAGCAAGGUGCAGAAGUUUUGCUGGAGAGUGCUGUUCGACUCU
rnacentral:rRNA from 1 species